AUUGAACGCUGGCGGCAGGCCUAACACAUGCAAGUCGAACGAGUGGCGGACGGGUGAGUAAUGUCUGGGAAACUGCCUGAUGGAGGGGGAUAACUACUGGAAACGGUAGCUAAUACCGCAUACCAUCGGAUGUGCCCAGCUGGGAUUAGCUGGUUGGUGGGGUAACGGCUCAGCUAGGCGACGAUCCCUAGCUGGUCUGAGAGGAGGACGAGCAAAACUGGAACUGAGACACGGUCCAGACUCCUACGGGAGGCAGCAGUGGGGAAUAUUGCACAAUGGGCGAAAGCCUGAUGCAGCCAUGCCGCGUGUAUGAAGAAGGCCUUCGGGUUGUAAAGUACUUUCAGCGGGGAGGCGUUACCCGAAGAAGAAGCACCGGCUAACUCCGUGCCAGCAGCCGCGGUAAUAC
rnacentral:rRNA from 1 species